CUUGGUCAUUUAGAGGAAGUAAAAGUCGUAACAAGGUUUCCGUAGGUGAACCUGCGGAAGGAUCAUUAGUGAAUUGAAUAUGUUAGCGGACCUCUUCGGAGUCCCUAGCAUCAAAUCAUAUCCAUAACACCUGUGAACUGUAAGGCUGUCUUGAAAACGAAAGUGAUUAGAGCGCCUGCCCAUUUUAUACAAACAUUAAAGUAACAAACGUAGUCUUAUUAUAAUCUAAUAAAACUUUCAACAACGGAUCUCUUGGCUCUCGCAUCGAUGAAGAACGCAGCGAAAUGCGAUAAGUAAUGUGAAUUGCAGAAUUCAGUGAAUCAUCGAAUCUUUGAACGCACCUUGCGCUCUUUGGUAUUCCGAAGAGCAUGCCUGCUUGAGUGUCAUGAAAAUAUCAACCUUGACUUGGGUUUAGUGCUCUUGUCUUGGCUUGGAUUUGGCUGUUUGCCGCUCGAAAGAGUCGGCUCAGCUUAAAAGUAUUAGCUGGAUCUGUCUUUGAGACUUGGUUUGACUUGGCGUAAUAAGUUAUUUCGCUGAGGGCAAUCUUCGGAUUGGCCGAGUUUCUGGGACGUUUGUCCGCUUUCUAAUACAAGUUCUAGCUUGCUAGACAUGACUUUUUUAUUAUCUGGCCUCAAAUCAGGUAGGACUACCCGCUGAACUUAAGCAUAUCAAUAAGCGGAGGAAAAGAAACUAACAAGGAUUCCCCUAGUAACGGCGAGUGAAGCGGGAAGAGCUCAAAUUUGAAAUCUGGUGGCCUCAGGCUAUCCGAGUUGUAAUCUAUAGAAACAUUUUCCGCGUUGGCCCAUGUACAAGUCUCUUGGAAUAGAGCGUCAUAGAGGGUGAGAAUCCCGUCCUUGACAUGGACUACCAGUGCUUUGUGAUAUGUUUUCAACGAGUCGAGUUGUUUGGGAAU
rnacentral:sRNA from 1 species